GGGGUCUCUAUAUAGGAUCCAUUAUGAAAGGUGGCGCUGUAGCUGCAGAUGGACGAAUUGAGCCUGGAGAUAUGCUUCUACAGGUUAAUGAUGUCAAUUUUGAGAACAUGAGCAAUGAUGAUGCAGUUAGAGUUUUAAGAGAAAUUGUAUCCAAACCAGGACCAAUUAGCCUCACUGUAGCCA